rnacentral:rRNA from 1 species
UACGAAGGGGGCUAGCGUUGUUCGGAUUUACUGGGCGUAAAGCGCACGUAGGCGGAUCGUUAAGUCGGGGGUGAAAUCCUGGAGCUCAACUCCAGAACUGCCUUCGAUACUGGCGAUCUCGAGUCCGGAAGAGGUGAGUGGAACUCCUAGUGUAGAGGUGGAAUUCGUAGAUAUUAGGAAGAACACCGGUGGCGAAGGCGGCAACCUGGUCCUUGACUGACGCUGAGGCGCGAAAGCGUGGGGAGCAAACAGG